GCAUCGCUGCGGGCCGGCCGGGUCAGCGCAGCGCAGCCAGGAGCGCCCGGACAGGGGAGACAGACGCGCGCUGGUGGGUGAGCACAGGUAAAGAUCACAACAUGUUGGCUGUCUGUAAUUCCUGAUAGCCUUACAAGAACUCCUGGCUUUUUCCUCCCUGACAGUCCUCAGAGAUCCUUCAGUAGGAAGCCCCCUCCCUGCAACAGCUCUAUGGUAAAGGCAUAAGGAUGGAACACACCUUGCCAGCUCAGCUCCACAACACUUCAAGGUGGGAUGAUGAGAGGGGCUUGUGCAGAGAUGCAGCCUGCGUUCAACCAGGGAUAGAGACCACAGGAUUACCAACAAGCAAGAAGGUACAGGCAGCUGAUAUCUGUCACCUCUCUGUUCUAAUCAAAAGGAGAGCAGCACAGAUCAUGGUCCUUGUCCCUGC